AGUGAACGCUGGCGGUAGGCCUAACACAUGCAAGUCGAACGGCAGCACAGUAAGAGCUUGCUCUUACGGGUGGCGAGUGUCGGACGGGUGAGGAAUACAUCGGAAUCUACUUUUUCGUGGGGGAUAACGUAGGGAAACUUACGCUAAUAACGCAUACGACCUACGGGGGAAAGCAGGGGAUCUUCGGACCUUUCGCGAUUGAAUGAGCCGAUGUCGGAUUAGCUAGUUGGCGGGGUAAAGGCCCACCAAGGCGACGAUCCGUAGCUGGUCUGAGAGGAUGAUCAGACACACUGGAAAUGAGACACGGCCGAGACUCCUACGGGAGGCAGCAGUGGGGAAUAUUGGACAAUGGGCGCAAGCCUGAUCCAGCCAUACCGCGUGGGUGAAGAAGGACUUCGGGUUGUAAAGCCAUUUUGUUGGGAAAGAAAAGCAGCAGGUUAAUACCCCGCUGUUCUGACGGUACCCAAAGAAUAAGCACCGGCUAACUUCGUG
rnacentral:rRNA from 1 species